CCUUGUACACACCGCCCGUCACACCAUGGGAGUUGGUUUUACCCGAAGCCGGUGCGCUAACUCGCAAGAGAGGUAGCCGACCACGGUAAGGUCAGCGACUGGGGUG
rnacentral:rRNA from 1 species